GCCAACCUGGCCGAUAAGAUUUAUUAGGGGCUAAUUACCAGGAGAGGCCUAGGUUCUUACCUAACAGUGAGAAGGAGUAUACUAUCCAACACUCACGCGCCCUAAGUGAUGUGAAUCCCAGGCAUAGCUGUACCAGUCCACACCGAGGGCGCACACGUUAACGUUAACGACAGGCUACCUCCAGUCAAUAACCAGCCUAACCGAAUGUCCAGUUAUG